rnacentral:rRNA from 1 species
AUUGAACGCUGGCGGAAUGCUUUACACAUGCAAGUCGAACGGCCGCACGGACUUCGGUCUGGUGGCGAGUGGCGAACGGGUGAGUAACAUAUCGGAACGUAUCCAAUAAUGGGGGAUAACUAAUCGAAAGGUUGGCUAAUACCGCAUACGCCCUACGGGAGAAAGCAGGGGAUCUUCGGACCUUGCGUUAAUGGAGCGGCUGAUAUCUGAUUAGCGAGUGGGUGAGGUAAAGGCUCACCAAGGCGACGUUCAGUAGCUGGUCUGAGAGGACGACCCGCCACACUAGAACUGAGACACGGUCCAGACUCCUACGGGAGGCAGCAGUGGGGAAUUUUGGACAAUGGGCGCAAGCCUGAUCCAGCCAUUCCGCGUGAGUGAAGAAGGCCUUCGGGUUGUAAAGCUCUUUCGCAAGGGAAGAAAACUUACUUUCUAAUAAAGAGUGAGGUUGACGGUACCUUGAUAAGAAGCACCGGCUAACUACGUGCCAGCCGCCGCAGUAA